rnacentral:rRNA from 1 species
GACGAACGCUGGCGGCGUGCUUAACACAUGCAAGUCGAACGGAAAGGCCCUGCUUUUGUGGGGUGCUCGAGUGGCGAACGGGUGAGUAACACGUGAGUAACCUGCCCUUGACUUUGGGAUAACUUCAGGAAACUGGGGCUAAUACCGGAUAGGAGCUCCUGCUGCAUGGUGGGGGUUGGAAAGUUUCGGCGGUUGGGGAUGGACUCGCGGCUUAUCAGCUUGGUGGUGGGGUAGUGGCUUACCAAGGCUUUGACGGGUAGCCGGCCUGAGAGGGUGACCGGCCACAUUGGGACUGCGAUACGGCGCAGACUCCUACGGGAGGCAGCAGUGGGGAAUAUUGCACAAUGGGCGGAAGCCUGAUGCAGCAACGCCGCGUGCGGGAUGACGGCCUUCGGGUUGUAAACCGCUUUCGCCUGUGACGAAGCGUGAGUGACGGUAAUGGGUAAAGAAGCACCGGCUAACUACGUG